GUGUCAGCCGCCGCGGUAAGACGUAUGAGGCAAGCGUUGUUCGGAAUUAUUGGGCGUAAAGGGCGUGUAGGCGGGGAACUAAGUUAGAUGUGAAAUCCAUGGGCUUAACUCAUGAACUGCAUUUAAUACUGGUUCUCUUGAGUUCGGGAGAGGUAAGCGGAAUUCCCGGUGUAGCGGUGAAAUGCGUAGAUAUCGGGAAGAACACCAGUGGCGAAGGCGGCUUACUGGCCUAGAACUGACGCUAAGGCGCGAAAGCGUGGGGAGCGAACGGGAUUAGAUACCCGUGUAGUCC
rnacentral:rRNA from 1 species